rnacentral:rRNA from 1 species
UACGGGGGGGGCAAGCGUUGUUCGGAAUUACUGGGCGUAAAGGGCUCGUAGGCGGCCAACUAAGUCAGACGUGAAAUCCCUCGGCUUAACCGGGGAACUGCGUCUGAUACUGGAUGGCUUGAGGUUGGGAGAGGGAUGCGGAAUUCCAGGUGUAGCGGUGAAAUGCGUAGAUAUCUGGAGGAACACCGGUGGCGAAGGCGGCAUCCUGGACCAAUGCUGACGCUGAGGAGCGAAAGCCAGGGGAGCAAACGGG